CUGAGGAGGAGGCAGCAGCUUCAGUCCCCCAAGAGGGGGAGGCCAGCUUAGCAGAAAUAAAAGCCCGGAUUCAGCAUUCAGAUGAACCAGCCCAGAAAGUGUCCACUUGAAUGAACUAUUGUUUGGAUGGGACACAACUGAUUCUUGAAGGAAGGUCUAGAGAAGGAGGUUACAACAAUAGGAGCACUUAAGAAGGCACAUGGCAAGAAACUGAAUAAAAUCUUCAUUCUUUACCACUUACCCAAGAUAAAUAUAUUGAGCAAGUAC